UUACGGCCAUAUCACGUUGAAACACCUGUUCCCGUACGAUCAUCGAAGUUAAGCAACGCCGAGCCUGGUCAUUAGUACCUAGAUGGGUGACCGCCUGAGUAUACUAAGUGA